UGACGGUCGUCAUGGACACCGCUGUUAGUCUGAGUGUGGCCAAUGUAAAGGAAACCUGCCUUGUAACAAGGUCAAUGGAACAUGUCAACAAGGAUGUCGGCCAGGGUUUCAAGAACCCUUUUGUAAAGGUUGUACAGAGUGCCCGGCAACGCCAGGAUACUCAAACCAAGUAGUGCCAGUUGCAGCAACACUUGGUACACUUCUCAUCUUGGCUCUCAUCGCUCUGUUGACAUCCAUCAUUUACAUUAGAAGACUGAAGAUUCAACUGGAUGCCUCACAAAAGAAACCCGAAGACAACUACAUAUCCCUAGACGAGAGAACCAGGGAUCCAGUUGUGGAGAACACAUAUGAAUACACUGACAAUUCCAAUCCUUAUGUUAAU